rnacentral:rRNA from 1 species
AUUGAACGCUGGCGGAAUGCUUUACACAUGCAAGUCGAGCGGCAGCACGGGGGCAACCCUGGUGGCGAGCGGCGAACGGGUGAGUAAUACAUCGGAACAUGCCCAGUCGUGGGGGAUAACACUUCGAAAGAAGUGCUAAUACCGCAUACGUCCUGAGGGGGAAAGCGGGGGAUCGCAAGACCUCGCGCGAUUGGAGUGGCCGAUGUCAGAUUAGCUAGUUGGUGGGGUAAAGGCCUACCAAGGCAACGAUCUGUAGCUGGUCUGAGAGGAUGAUCAGCCACACUGGGACUGAGACACGGCCCAGACUCCUACGGGAGGCAGCAGUGGGGAAUUUUGGACAAUGGGGCAACCCUGAUCCAGCCAUUCCGCGUGAGUGAAGAAGGCCUUCGGGUUGUAAAGCUCUUUCGGCAGGAACGAAACGGUGAGCUCUAACAUAGCUUGCUAAUGACGGUACCUGAAGAAGAAGCACCGGCUAACUACGUG